rnacentral:rRNA from 1 species
GACCUCGGAUCAGGUAGGACUACCCGCUGAACUUAAGCAUAUCAUAA